rnacentral:rRNA from 1 species
UGCGUAGGUGGCGCCGUCAGUGGGGUGUGAAAUUUCGGAGCUUAACUCCGAAACUGCAUUCCAUACUGCGGUGCUUGAGGAUUGGAGAGGAGACUGGAAUUCAUGGUGUAGCAGUGAAAUGCGUAGAGAUCAUGAGGAAGACCAGUGGCGAAGGCGGGUCUCUGGACAGUUCCUGACACUGAGGCACGAAGGCUAGGGGAGCGAACG